GACGUAGGAGGCGAGCGUUGUCCGGAUUCAUUGGGCGUAAAGAGCGCGCAGGCGGCUUGGUAAGUCGGAUGUGAAAUCCCGAGGCUCAACCUCGGGUCUGCAUCCGAUACUGCCCGGCUAGAGGUAGGUAGGGGAGAUCGGAAUUCCUGGUGUAGCGGUGAAAUGACGCAGAUAUCAGGAGGAACACCGGUGGCGAAGGCGGAUCUCUGGGCCUUACCUGACGCUCAGGCGCGAAAAGCUAGGGGGAGCGAACUGG
rnacentral:rRNA from 1 species